rnacentral:rRNA from 1 species
AGAGUUUGAUUAUGGCUCAGGACGAACGCUGGCGGCGUGCUUAACACAUGCAAGUCGAGCGGAGAAUAUAGCAAUAUAUUCUAGCGGCGGACGGGUGAGUAACGCGUGGGCAAUCUGCCUCAUACAGGGGGAUAACACUGGGAAACUAGUGCUAAUACCGCAUAAAAUAGUGAAGUGGCAUCACUUUACUAUCAAAGGAGCAAUCCGGUGUGAGAUGAGCCCGCGUCCGAUUAGCUAGUUGGAGGGGUAACGGCCCACCAAGGCGACGAUCGGUAGCCGAACUGAGAGGUUGAUCGGCCACAUUGGGACUGAGACACGGCCCAGACUCCUACGGGAGGCAGCAGUGGGGAAUAUUGCGCCAAGGGGGGAAACCCUGACGCAGCAACGCCGCGUGAAGGAUGAAGGUUUUCGGAUUGUAAACUUCUUUGAUUGGGGACGAUAAUGACGGUACCCAAAAAACAAGCCACGGCUAACUACGUGCCAGCAGCCGC